CACACACCAGCAAUCCUGAGUGAGCUGAGCCUGAGAAGAAGCCCUCGCAUCAAGCAGCUGGCGCUGGGCAGGACGACAUCUGGCCCCUUCUAUUCUGCGUCUCAGCCACAGCCUCGGAGUGUGCAGAGGGCUCACUCGUCUCAGCAAAGCCGGUCAGGUAAGGUGCCUGCCCCGCAUCCACGCUGACUUGGUGGGGAGUACUUUUGGGAAAAGCAAUGAGAUUUGGCCUCUGGUUUCUGGGCAUGGGAGCAGUAGAGCUGGUGAGUGUAUUUGAGGUCCGGGUGAUGAGCAAUCGGGGUCUAUGAUCCGCAUCAUCCCUUCGGAGUCUGACAGCGGCCGCCCACACCAUUCCCGUGAGGAAUGCGUCCCCUGCAGAGGGCGUGACCUGUUUCCCAGCCUGUGCUCACGUCCUACACGCGUCCCAGGGGAAGGCGGAUCUGUGUGUGUCUCCGACCAUGGGGCCUGGGUUAACCGCAGUCUCAUUAACCCUCGGGGAGGCAGCAUGACCGUAGUGGUUGCUGACGUCAUCCCCUCCUGUUCUCGCCUUGCAGACCAGAGUGGGUCUCCUCCCCUCCCGCGGAUUCGGUCUCCGAAGACGCUGCUUUUCGGGGCCGUGUCCGAGGUGGUCGGGCCCUCGGAGGAGGGCGCGGCUCGACGUACAGGGCCUUCCGGAGACACAGUGGCCUCUGAGAUGCCGACAGCUUACCAGGUAGGACAUGUCUAUCGUGUUUAAAACCGUCUCGGGGAGCAGACAGACGGCCAGGGAAACACUGCGCAGUGACGGGGAGGCUCACGGUGCUGAGUCGCCUUCCUUAGUGACCAGCUGAGGUGGAAAUUCCAACAGGCAGCGUUAGGUUGGCAAAACGUUGGACCCGCCUUUAAAACUUUUAUUUAAAGUUGGAGAUUGUCCAUAUUUCAUUGCCCCGGCGUUUAGUCCUGAGAGCAAGUCUGGUCAGUGAAGAGGUUGGUCUCAGUGCCUCAGGCGGCUCCCAGUGAGGCCUGCCGUGUGAGCAGCAGCCAUGUGCGUCUGGAAAAACAAAAGGAAGUUUAGCAAUUACAGAAGGUAGGUAAGGGACAGUGUAGAAGAAAGAAUACAGACAGAGUGUAGAGAGAGAGAAGAAAGGGAGAUGUGGAAUGAGAGAAGAGGCAGGUCAAAGAAGUGAGAAGAAUGAAAUUAGAGAAAAAUGAGUUCUGAGAAGGAGAUGGGAGAUUGAAGGGGGAGGUCAGAGUUAAGAUAAUUCAGAGAGAAGAAGGUUGGGAAAUUAGAUUUGAGAGAAGAGUGGGAUAAUAGAGGGAGUGAGAAAUGUAAGGCAGAAGAUAGAACAGAAAGAGAAGAGCGAGGUAAAGAAGGAUGAGUCUAGAAGUAGAAGAAACUGGAGAGAGGAGUCACAGGGAGAAAGUGACAAGAAUGAAAUCAAUCUGAGA